UUUAUAUUAGCUUAUACAUAAAGCACAGCUUUGAAGAAGCUUAGAUCAAUUUAUUUGAUAUAAAA
rnacentral:tRNA from 1 species